UACGUAGGGGGCUAGCGUUGUCCGGAAUCAUUGGGCGUAAAGAGCGUGUAGGCGGCCAGGUAGGUCUGGUGUGAAAACUCGAGGCUUAACCUCGAGAUGUCAUCGGAAACCAUCUGGCUAGAGUCCGGAAGAGGAGAGUGGAAUUCCUGGUGUAGCGGUGAAAUGCGCAGAUAUCAGGAGGAACACCGAUUGCGAAGGCAGCUCGCUGGGACGUAACUGACGCUGAGACGCGAAAGCGUGGGAGCGAACAGG
rnacentral:rRNA from 1 species